CAGUGGGAAGCCAAAAUAGAGGCAUUUAACUGUUAAUUAAAAAAAUGUAAUUUAUAUUACUUCACUGG
rnacentral:tRNA from 1 species